UACGUAGGGGGCAAGCGUUGUCCGGAUGUAUUGGGCGUAAAGAGCGUGUAGGCGGUUUGGUAGGUCCGCUGUGAAAACUCGAGGCUCAACCUCGAGACGCCGGUGGAAACCAUCAGACUAGAGUCCGGAAGAGGAGAGUGGAAUUCCUGGUGUAGCGGUGAAAUGCGCAGAUAUCAGGAAGGAACACCAGUGGCGAAGGCGACCACCUGGACUGAUACUGACACUGAGGUGCGAAAGCGUGGGGAGCAAACAGG
rnacentral:rRNA from 1 species